UGGGGAAUAUUGCGCAAUGGACGAAAGUCUGACGCAGCGACGCCGCGUGAAGGAUGAAGUAUUUCGGUAUGUAAACUUCGAAAGAAUAGGAAGAAUAAAUGACGGUACUAUUUAUAAGCACCGGCUAACUACGUGCCAGCAGCCGCGGUAAUACGUAGGGUGCAAGCGUUAAUCGGAAUUACUGGGCGUAAAGCGUGCGCAGGCGGUUAUGUAAGACAGUUGUGAAAUCCCCGGGCUCAACCUGGGAACUGCAUCUGUGACUGCAUAGCUAGAGUACGGUAGAGGGGGAUGGAAUUCCGCGUGUAGCAGUGAAAUGCGUAGAUAUGCGGAGGAACACCGAUGGCGAAGGCAAUCCCCUGGACCUGUACUGACGCUCAUGCACGAAAGCGUGGGGAGCAAACAGGAUUAGAUACCCGCGUAGUCCCUGAGCGGGCUGGCAAGGCGCAU
rnacentral:rRNA from 1 species